AACGAACGCUGGCGGCAUGCCUAACACAUGCAAGUCGAACGAGACCUUCGGGUCUAGUGGCGCACGGGUGCGUAACGCGUGGGAAUCUGCCCUUGGGUUCGGAAUAACAGCGAGAAAUUGCUGCUAAUACCGGAUGAUGACGUAAGUCCAAAGAUUUAUCGCCCAAGGAUGAGCCCGCGUAGGAUUAGCUAGUUGGUGAGGUAAAGGCUCACCAAGGCGACGAUCCUUAGCUGGUCUGAGAGGAUGAUCAGCCACACUGGGACUGAGACACGGCCCAGACUCCUACGGGAGGCAGCAGUGGGGAAUAUUGGACAAUGGGCGAAAGCCUGAUCCAGCAAUGCCGCGUGAGUGAUGAAGGCCUUAGGGUUGUAAAGCUCUUUUACCCGGGGAUGAUAAUGACAGUACCGGGAGAAUAAGCUCCGGCUAACUCCGUGCCAGCAGCCGCGGUAAU
rnacentral:rRNA from 1 species